UAUUAUACUAAUAAUUAUUAACGAGCCUGGAUUAAUAAUAGAUAUAUUCUUUAAAUUUAAAGAAUUUGGCGGUGAUUUAGUCUUGUUAGAGGAACCUGUUUUUGAAUCGAUAUACCACGUAAAAUUUCACUCAUUUUAUUUAGUUUAUAUACCGUCAUUAGCAGAUAAUUUUUAAAAAAUUAAUCAUUAAAGAUUAAAAGAGAUUAAGUUAAAUUAGAUCAAGGUGUAGCUUAUAAAUGAGUUAGAAUGGGUUACAAUAAAAUAUAUUUAGAACGGAGCAGCUACAGGAAGCAGUGCUGUAGAAGGAGGAUUUGAUUGUAAUGAAAGUUUAAUAAGCUAGAAAGAUAUAAGCUCUAAAUCAU
rnacentral:rRNA from 1 species